AAUUAUAUAAUAUAUAUAUAUAUCAGUAUAUUUGACUUCCAAUCAAAAAGUCUAAAAUUUUAGUAUAAUUA
rnacentral:tRNA from 1 species